rnacentral:rRNA from 1 species
AACGCCUACGGGACGCAGCAGUGAGGAAUAUUGGUCAAUGGGCGGGAGCCUGAACCAGCCAAGUCGCGUGAGGGAAGACGGUCCUAUGGAUUGUAAACCUCUUUAGGCGGGAAGCAAUGCCGGGCACGCGUGCCCGGAGGGAGAGUACCCGCAGAAUAAGCAUCGGCUAACUCCGUGCCAGCAGCCGCGGUAAUACGGAGGAUGCGAGCGUUAUCCGGAUUUAUUGGGUUUAAAGGGUGCGCAGGCGGAGGUGCAAGUCAGUGGUCAAAUUGCGGGGCUCAACCCCUUACUGCCGUUGAAACUGG